rnacentral:rRNA from 2 species
GAGUAAUGUCUGGGAAACUGCCUGAUGGAGGGGGAUAACUACUGGAAACGGUAGCUAAUACCGCAUAACGUCGCAAGACCAAAGAGGGGGACCUUCGGGCCUCUUGCCAUCAGAUGUGCCCAGAUGGGAUUAGCUAGUAGGUGGGGUAACGGCUCACCUAGGCGACGAUCCCUAGCUGGUCUGAGAGGAUGACCAGCCACACUGGAACUGAGACACGGUCCAGACUCCUACGGGAGGCAGCAGUGGGGAAUAUUGCACAAUGGGCGCAAGCCUGAUGCAGCCAUGCCGCGUGUAUGAAGAAGGCCUUCGGGUUGUAAAGUACUUUCAGCGGGGAGGAAGGUGUUGUGGUUAAUAACCGCAGCAAUUGACGUUACCCGCAGAAGAAGCACCGGCGAACUCCGUGCCAGCAGCCACGGUAAUACGGAGGGUGCAAGCGUUAAUCGGAAUUACUGGGCGUAAAGCGCACGCAGGCGGUCUGUCAAGUCGGAUGUGAAAUCCCCGGGCUCAACCUGGGAACUGCAUUCGAAACUGGCAGGCUGGAGUCUCGUAGAGGGAGGUAGAAUUCCAGGUGUAGCGGUGAAAUGCGUAGAGAUCUGGAGGAAUACCGGUGGCGAAGGCGGCCUCCUGGACGAAGACUGACGCUCAGUGCGAAAGCGUGGGGAGCAAACAGGAUUAGAUACCCUGGUAGUCCACGCUGUAAACGAUGUCGAUUUGGAGGGUU